rnacentral:tRNA from 1 species
UAUGGUGUGGUGGAAUGGCAGACACGCUAGUUUACCAAACUAGUGGGUAAAACCGUACGGGUUCGAGUCACGUCACCCUCA